GUUAGGCCUGCUUGCACCCAGCCAGAGAGAGAGAGAGAGAGAAAGGGAGGAAAGAAAACAGAGAGAAACAGGUUUAUCUUCACUCUUCUCUUCAGCUGAAACUGUGGCAGGUCCUAAACUGUAUGUAUAAUUUAUUAAACUGACACUUUCGACUUCACCUGCGGAGUAUUGGACAGUUGAGAGGCAAAGGUACUUUGUAGGCUACUUCACUGCGUUUUGCGUUCAACAAAUCACGGGCACAGUUUACACGUGCGCUAAUGGUAAGCACUGUGCAUGUAUGGCCAUAUUAUGGAAUGGGUAUAUCUAUCUCCUAUAAUAACUGUGAGCCCUAAUCUGAAGCUAAUUGGAGCCUACUGCUAUUGCCAAAGGCGACGAUGGACAAUGGCCAAAUGGAAACCCUGUUAUUAUGUAGCCAAGGUCAUGGUGGAGAAAUGGGGAGCUAUGAUGACGAGGGAAAAAAGCCUGCUUACCUUGUAUGUACUUUCGGUCAGUUUAUUCACAUCGUCAUGAUCCAGAGACAUGUUGGCAGUCAUUUCUCAGUCUCUGCAAGAUGGAACAAAAAAAACUAAACCGAAGCCAAUCACUCGAAGUCUAUAUAAUUCCUUUAAAAUCCAAGGUGGGCUGUUUAGUUGUUCCAGGAGUAGUUUACAAUUGAGAGCAGAAGCGCAACUGUGCACCAGUGGCCAAACAAACCGGCAUCAACCGCUGCGCUGCCUGAACGGAGACUGUCAAACUUCACCGUGUGUGUGUCGGAGGGGCGGGAGACAGAAAAGAAAAUGUUUCGGGGAAGCUCAGCUUCAUUCAGAGGGAAUGCGACUUACGUGCGGGAGCUGGCCUCCGAGGUUCCAACCGAGACAAAGUUCGAACGGUUCGAUCCAAGGAACACUUUACGCACCGACAAAUUCAACUAUACCUGGGACUUUGGCAACGGGUAUGUCUGCCUGUUUAUCAUCGAAUAUAUGUUUUGUUGUUUUCCUUUUCACAGGUUAGGCUAUAUAUUUAAAUAGUACGUGGUUGUUUUAUUCUGGUUCUGUAAGGGAGGUGCUGUAUGUGCACCAUAAAUACUUGUCCUCUGGAAACUACACUCUGCGGCUGAGAGUGGGGGCCCAAGUGAACAAAAGCUCUACUCCACUAACUGGGGUUUACACCAUGGACAUUACAGUGUUGGGUAGGUUGGCAGAAUACACAUAAUUUGUGUUAAGAAUGAUUUAGUUUGAAAUUGUAUUGCAUAUCUCUGCUAUUUUCCCGACCCCAUCAGAAAUAUUAAGUCGAAAGGCCCUUUGAGUUUCCAGGUUUCCAGAAACAACAGUCUGGCUAUUCAUGUCGAUGGAAGGUGGAUACAAUUUCCCAGUAGAAUUAACACCCAUACAACAUCAUAAACAUGCAUAACACAUCAAAGAAUCGACUAAUUUAUUCUCUCUCUUCCUCUCUUUGCUUCCCAGUCCUCCAAUGUGGGUGUGCUAUAUUCAUUCUCAUUAGCUUUAUCUCUCUCUCUCUCUCUCUCUCUCUCUCUCUCUCUCUCUCUCUCUCUCUCUCACACACACACACACACACACACAUUCAGACUGAACCACAUUCAGACUGAACCACAUUCAGACUGAACCACACCUUCACGGCUUUAGGAGUCCACUGUCUUGACAUCAGUGCCUGCAAUGACAUCAGCAAACUACAGACCUCCUAGGCUGAAGCUACAGUACAGUGCACACUCUCUCCUCUCACUAUGAAUACAGUAUCGACUAGUUUGAUAUAGUACAAAUGAUCCAUCUAUUAGUAUAGUGUCGCUCAGCAGUUCUGGUGGCACAAGGGGUUUUGAUCCGAAUUGACCUCUUUAGAUUUCAUGGUUCUCCUUGUAAUCUUAAAGUGAUAUUAUGGGGUUUUGGCAAAGAGGCCCUCUAUCCAGAUGAACUUAUAGAUAUACUUUUUAUGUCUCUGCAUGCAGUUUGAAGAAAGUUGCUAACUAGUGUUAGUCCAAUUGCUAAAUGAUAUUAGUGCAAUGACUGGAAGUGUCUAUUCAUUGCGCUAACGCUGGUUAGCAUUGGCUCGCAAACCUACCUUGAACUACCUUCAUACUGGACACAGAGACAUACAAAUAGUAUCCAUGAGCUCAUCUGACUUUAGGGAAGUAGAUAAAGGGUCUCAUUGCCAAAAUCCCAAAGUAUCCCUUUAAACUGAACCGAGUGAUAGUGUUUUUCAGAGAAAUUAAAAGACGUCAAUGGGACAGUGGCCAGGGUUGAGGAAUUCACUCGGGAGUUCUGGAGAAGAGUAAUUUAACUCAUGGACCCACAACCCAUACUGUUCAUGUCUCCUGUGGUGAACUGAGGAGUUUCAGGAAGCUUAUGACCUCAUUCUAAUGCAUAUACAAAUACCAGAAGACUAAAAUAAUGAUGAAUGAUGGCUAAUAUAAAUAGGAACAUGAUUCAGUGGUGUACAAAGUAUGUCAAGAGGAGACAUGCUGUGGUGCUUGAAUAAUCAUUUAUGCAGAAACUGGUGAGUAUGACAGUUACUAAUUGGGAGUGAAUUGUAAAUAGGAAAUUAAUUUUGCUUGCACAACUUCUGACCAGUAUUCAAGCUUGUCUAUCUGCAUCAUGUAAUACUGUAGCAUUAAAGUAUGUGAAGAGUUUUCCCUACCUUGAGCUAUGGUAAAAACAGUUCUCUCUGUCUCCUAAUAGCCUCCAAUAACCUGCUCUUCAUCCUGCCGUGUGCUGGGAUCAUAUUAGCAAUCCUCGCCUUCAUCACUGUUAUAGCCAGUCGCCCUAAGAAGGGAAACAACAACAAUUCACAGAUGUCUGGGUACAGUAACGCCACUUACUCCAGCAUUAAAAUGGACCUGCAGCCCCAUCGGGACAUCCCUGAUAUCAGUACUAAUCUGUAUGUGUCCAGGGCAGAGAAAGGAGAGGUCCAAACCCUUCUGUUGCAGCAUGGUACCAGAGCUGACGCCUACUCAUACCGCAACCAGUCUUCAUUUACUCGCUUUUGAUCUGGGCUUUGUGCUGGUCUGAUUCAAGUCCAAUGCUAAUAGUUUGCUAAAAAUGUAUGGUUUGAGAUCAAUAAACAUGUAAAGUAACCUUGAA